rnacentral:rRNA from 1 species
UGAUAUACGCUCGUCUCAAAGGUUAAGCCAUGCAUGUCUAAGUACAAGCUUCCUAGAAAGUGAAACCGCAUAAGGCUCAGUAUAACAGCUAUAAUUUACAAGAUCCUCAUCCAAACAGUUACUUGGAUAACUGUGGAAAAGCCAGAGCUAAUACAUGCAUUAUGCCGGGACUGUUGGCCUCCGGGUCGGCGGAACUGGUGCACUUAUUAGUUAAACCAAUCGCCUCCGGGCGCUUUGAGUUGAAAUCUGGAUAAGGAUGCCGAUCGUACGGUCGCUUGCGUACUGACGACAGAUCUUUCAAAUGUCUGCCCUAUCAACUAUUGAUGGUAGUGUAGAGGACUACCAUGGUUGCGACGGGUAACGGGGAAUCAGGGUUCGAUUCCGGAGAGGGAGCCUGAGAAAUGGCUACCACAUCCAAGGAAGGCAGCAGGCGCGUAAAUUACCCAAUCCCGGCACGGAGGUAGUGACGAGAAAUAACAAUAUGGACCUCUCUAACGAUGGUCCAUAAUUGGAAUGAGUUGAGCAUAAAUCCUUUUGCAAGGAUCAAGUGGAGGGCAAGUCUGGUGCCAGCAGCCGCGGUAAUUCCAGCUCCACUAGCGUAUAUUA